rnacentral:tRNA from 1 species
GGGGCUGUGGCUCUGUGGUAGAGCAUCUGGUUUGCAUGCAGAAGAUCCCAUGUUCAAUCCCCAGCAGGUCCA